rnacentral:rRNA from 1 species
GACAGAGGGGGCAAGCGUUGCUCGGAAUUACUGGGCGUAAAGGGCGCGUAGGCGGGAUGGCAAGUCGGUCGUGAAAUCCCUCGGCUCAACUGAGGAUCGUCGAUCGAUACUGCCGUUCUUGAGGAUUGCAGAGGAGACUGGAAUUCCCGGUGUAGCGGUGAAAUGUGUAGAGAUGUGGAGGAACACCGAUGGCGAAGGCGGCUUCCUGGACCGAUUACUGACGCUGAGGCGCGAAAGCUAGGGGAGCAAACGGG